rnacentral:rRNA from 1 species
CCUACGGGGGGCUGCAGUGGGGAAUAUUGGACAAUGGGGGGAACCCUGAUCCAGCCAUGCCGCGUGUGUGAAGAAGGCCCUCGGGUUGUAAAGCACUUUCAGUGAGGAAGAACGCCUGGUGGUUAAUACCCAUCAGGAAAGACAUCACUCACAGAAGAAGCACCGGCUAACUCCGUGCCAGCAGCCGCGGUAAUACGGAGGGUGCGAGCGUUAAUCGGAAUUACUGGGCGUAAAGCGCGCGUAGGUGGCUUGAUAAGCCGGUUGUGAAAGCCCCGGGCUCAACCUGGGAACGGCAUCCGGAACUGUCAAGCUAGAGUGCCGGAGAGGAAGGUAGAAUUCCCGGUUUAGCGGUGAAAUGCGUAGAGAUCGGGAGGAAUACCAGUGGCGAAGGCGGCCUUCUGGACUUACACUGACACUGAGGUGCGAAAGCGUGGGUAGCAAACAGGAUUAGAUAUCCGAGUAGUC